rnacentral:rRNA from 1 species
UACGUAGGGUGCGAGCGUUGUCCGGAAUUAUUGGGCGUAAAGAGCUCGUAGGCGGCUUGUCGCGUCGUCCGUGAAAACUUGGGGCUCAACCCCAAGCUUGCGGUCGAUACGGGCAGGCUCGAGUUCGGUAGGGGAGACUGGAAUUCCUGGUGUAGCGGUGAAAUGCGCAGAUAUCAGGAGGAACACCGGUGGCGAAGGCGGGUCUCUGGGCCGAUACUGGCGCUGAGGAGCGAAAGCGUGGGGAGCGAACAGG